GUGUUAAGACUUAAAUACGAAGUCGGACCUGCCCAGUGAAUUUUAAACGGCCGCGGUACUCUGACCGUGCAAAGGUAGCAUAAUCAUUUGCCUUAUAAUUGAAGGCUGGAAUGAAUGGUUUGACAAGAAUACACCUGUCUCUUGAUGAUUAUUUAGAAUUUUAUUUUUAAGUGAAAAAGCUUAGAUAUUAUUAAAAGACAAGAAGACCCUAUCGAGCUUUAGAAAAAUUAGUAGAAUUUAAAUAAAUCUAUAUUAAUAAAAGAAAAACUAUUAAAUACAUUGGUUGGGGCAACUGAGGAGUAAAUAGAGCCUCCUUUGAUUUAUAAAUCAUACUUGUAUUGAUCCAAACAUAUUGAUCAAAGAAAUUAGUUACCGUAGGGAUAACAGCAUUAUCUUUUUUGAGAGCCCAUAUCGAAAAAAAGGUUUGUGACCUCGAUGUUGGACCAGAAUAUCCUAAAGAUGCAGAAGUCUUUAAGGGUUGGUCUGUUCGACCAUUAAAAUUCUA
rnacentral:rRNA from 1 species